rnacentral:rRNA from 1 species
GGGAAAAGCUCAAAUUUAAAAUCUGACAGUCUUUGGCUGUCCGAGUUGUAAUUUAAAGAAGUGUUACCCGUGCUGGACCGUGUAUAAGUCUUCUGGAAUGGAGCAUCAUUGAGGGUGAGAAUCCCGUCUUUGACACGGACUACCAGUGCAUUGUGGUGCGCUCUCAA